rnacentral:rRNA from 1 species
UGCAAGUUGNACGGGCGGAUAUGGAAGCUUGCUGAAGUAUCUGUUAGUAGCGGACGGGUGAGUAAUGCAUGAGAAGCUGCCAUCGGGAGGGGGACAACAGUUGGAAACGGCUGCUAAUACCCCGUAUGCCGGAAGGUGAAAGGGAGCGAUCCGCCCGAUGAGGUGCUCAUGUCCUAUCAGCUGGUUGGUGGGGUAACGGCCUACCAAGGCGACGACGGGUAGCCGGCCUGAGAGGGUGAACGGCCACACUGGAACUGAGAUACGGUCCAGACUCCUACGGGAGGCAGCAGUGGGGAAUAUUGGGCAAUGGGGGAAACCCUGACCCAGCGACGCCGCGUGAGGGAAGACGGCCUUCGGGUUGUAAACCUCUUUUGUACGGGAAGAAGGACGUGACGGUACUGUACGAAUAAGUCCCGGCUAACUACGUGCCAGCAGCCGCGGUAAU